rnacentral:lncRNA from 1 species
UUGCCAUAAAGGUUCUUUUAUACGAUUAAAAUCCUCAAAACAACUGAUGUUCGGUACAUUAUUACAUGUACAACCCAACGGAGUACUAUAAUAUAUAUAAUAACACCAUAAGAAAACAGGAGAGUCCUUACAUUCUUCACUACAAUGAAUUGGAUUCAAGAUUUACUUUCUGUAAAAUACCAGCGAAUUAAAAGUCGGUAAUUGCUCGACUCACAGCAGCGGAGAGGUGUUGGAAAAGUCACCCAUCUUGCAGAUGGAUCUGCUAUGGUUGGAACUAGAACCUUACACGAGAGAAACCAGUACUGAUCCAGCUCUCUAGUUGGCCCAUGACUUGGUUCAGGAAGGACCCUCUGCCUGUUGCUAAAGGCUGAGACUACAAUAACCAACUAUAAAUCCAUUGGAUGAAUGAAAGAGGAAGAAGGGCAGCCGAUUUUCCCCUUUCUCAAACAGGACAUUAUGU